AUAAGUAGCUAGGGGUGCAAUUUAGCUGAGAGAUGGAAUUUCCAUUAACCCUUUAAACUUGUUAGGUUAAAACCUGCGUAAGAAAGCUAUUAUUAAGUGAA
rnacentral:ncRNA from 2 species